UACAGAGGGUGCAAGCGUUAAUCGGAAUUACUGGGCGUAAAGCGCACGCAGGCGGUUGGUUAAGUCAGAUGUGAAAGCCCCGGGCUCAACCUGGGAAUUGCAUUUGAAACUGGAAAACUAGAGUGUGUGAGAGGGGGGUAGAAUUCCAAGUGUAGCGGUGAAAUGCGUAGAGAUUUGGAGGAAUACCAGUGGCGAAGGCGGCCCCCUGGCACAACACUGACGCUCAGGUGCGAAAGCGUGGGGAGCAAACAGG
rnacentral:rRNA from 1 species